GACGGGUAGCCGGCCUGAGAGGGCGACCGGCCACACUGGGACUGAGACACGGCCCAGACUCCUACGGGAGGCAGCAGUGGGGAAUAUUGCACAAUGGGCGAAAGGCUGAUGCAGCGACGCCGCGUGAGGGAUGACGGCCUUCGGGUUGUAAACCUCUUUCAGCAGAGAAGAAGCGAAAGUGACGGUACCUGCAGAAGAAGCGCCGGCUAACUACCUGCCAGCAGCCGCGGUAAUACGUAGGGCGCAAGCGUUGUCCGGAAUUAUUGGGCGUAAAGAGCUCGUAGGCGGCUUGUCACGUCGGGUGUGAAAGCCCGGGGCUUAACCCCGGGUCUGCAUCCGAUACGGGCAGGCUAGAGUGUGGUAGGGGAGAUCGGAAUUCCUGGUGUAGCGGUGAAAUGCGCAGAUAUCAGGAGGAACACCGGUGGCGAAGGCGGAUCUCUGGGCCAUUACUGACGCUGAGGAGCGAAAGCGUGGGGAGCGAACAGGAUUAGAUACCCUGGUAGUCCACGCCGUA
rnacentral:rRNA from 1 species